UUGCAUUAUGAAAUGAGCACAAUAGUUGUGGCCAUAGUAUCUCUAGCUGCACUCAAGAGUAACCUGGAAAGACAUUGAUAUCUCAGGACACCACAACACCUGCAGCUGCCACUUGCCUUUCCUAUAAUA
rnacentral:snoRNA from 1 species